UACAGAGGUCUCAAGCGUUGUUCGGAUUCAUUGGGCGUAAAGGGUGCGUAGGCGGCGCGGUAAGUCGGGUGUGAAAUCUCGGGGCUUAACUCCGAAAUUGCACUGGAUACUGCUCUGCUAGAGGGCUGGAGAGGAGAUCGGAAUUCACGGUGUAGCAGUGAAAUGCGUAGAUAUCGUGAGGAAGACCAGUGGCGAAGGCGGAUCUCUGGACAGCUCCUGACGCUGAGGCGCGAAGGCGUGGGGAGCAAACGGG
rnacentral:rRNA from 1 species